GGGGCGUAGCAAUACGUUCGCUGGCGACCGGCAAACGGGUGCGGAACACGUACACAACCUUCCUUAAAGUGGGGGAUAGCCCGGGGAAACCCGGAUUAAUACCCCGUAACAUAGUGAAGUGGCAUCGCUUUAUUAUUAUAGCAGUAAUGCGCUUAAAGAUGGGUGUGCGACUGAUUAGGCAGUUGGCGGGGUAACGGCCCACCAAACCUACGAUCAGUAACUGGUGUGAGAGCACGACCAGUCACACGGGCACUGAGACACGGGCCCGACUCCUACGGGAGGCAGCAGUAAGGAAUAUUGGUCAAUGGACGCAAGUCUGAACCAGCCAUGCCGCGUGGAGGAUGAAGGUCCUCUGGAUUGUAAACUUCUUUUACCUGGGAAGAAAUCCACAAAUUCUUUUGUGGUUGACGGUACCAGGUGAAUAAGCACCGGCUAACUCCGUGCCAGCAGCCGCGGUAACACGGAGGGUGCAAGCGUUAUCCGGAUUCACUGGGUUUAAAGGGUGCGUAGGUGGGUUGGUAAGUCAGUGGUGAAAUCUCCAGGCUUAACUUGGAAACUGCCAUUGAUACUAUCAAUCUUGAAUACCGUGGAGGUCAGCGGAAUAUGUCAUGUAGCGGUGAAAUGCUUAGAUAUGACAUAGAACACCAAUUGCGAAGGCAGCUGGCUACGCGGAUAUUGACACUGAUGCACGAAAGCGUGGGGAUCAAACAGGAUUAGAUACCCUGGUAGUCCACGCCCUAAACGAUGGAUACUCGACAUACGCGAUAUACUGUGUGUGUCUGAGCGAAAGCAUUAAGUAU
rnacentral:rRNA from 1 species